CUACCUCCCCACCAUCUGCUUCCUUGCAGAGAAGCAGACCCGGCGCAUAAUGAGGUAGCAGCCUCCAGCCGGCCACCGUGACUAACUCAGAACAAAAGCGCUCCCUCCACGCCUCCUCCAACAAAGGGGCCACCAGCCCCGGCGCUCCCCGAAGGCUGCGGGUCUCCCGGCUACCGGCUGCGGAGCUGCCGCGCGCAAACUUCUCGGGGCUCCCGGGGCUGCCGGCGCCACGGAGCCGGGGCCGCGAAGGGAGGAAGCGCAAGCCGCCCGGAGAAAGCAGGGAUGUUGCUCUUGGAGAAUGUGAAGACAGUUUGCUUCUUGACAAGCGAGCGAGCGGGCGCCCAGAUUUCUGCAGCCUUCCUGAGUCUCCCCCGAGGGAAAAGCAGGCAGAGAAAAUGCCGGAUUUGGGAGCCACCAGGGAAGGGUUCCACGCAGGGGAGCCGCCCUCUUUGGCCCCAGAAUCUCCUGCCUGGGGCCCCCCUUUGGGUACAGCCAAUGGAUGACCUCAAACUCUGAGGAUGGUUGCUGGGGUUGGGGACAGGGAAACCUCCUGAAUAAUAACUGCAAAGAAGAAAGAGGCAAAAUCAACGUUUCCUCCCCGCCUUGAAGCAGAAAGGACAGUGUUCUUGAAGCUGUUGGCUGCAGUCACAGGGCUAGUUGCCCGCCUUGAUUCCCUGAGUAAAGUAUAACGUUUCCUGUGCCUGGA